CCUACGGGAGGCAGCAGUGGGGAAUAUUGCACAAUGGGGGAAACCCUGAUGCAGCGACGCCGCGUGAGUGAAGAAGUAAUUCGUUAUGUAAAGCUCUAUCAGCAGGGAAGAAAAUGACGGUACCUGAGUAAGAAGCCCCGGCUAACUACGUGCCAGCAGCCGCGGUAAUACGUAGGGGGCAAGCGUUAUCCGGAUUUACUGGGUGUAAAGGGAGCGUAGACGGCAGUGCAAGUCUGGAGUGAAAGGCGGGGGCUCAACCCCCGGACUGCUCUGGAAACUGUACGGCUGGAGUGCAGGAGAGGUAAGUGGAAUUACUAGUGUAGCGGUGAAAUGCGGAGAUAUUAGGAGGAACACCAGUGGCGAAGGCGGCUUACUGGACUGUAACUGACGUUGAGGCUCGAAAGCGUGGGGAGCAAACAGGAUUAGAUACCCGAGUAGUC
rnacentral:rRNA from 1 species